CGUUCAUUCUCUUUGUUAUUGGUUUAUACUUCAAAAUGAUAUCAUUUGGUGAAGUUAUUGUUUUGGAUUAAAAAAAAAAGAAAUUAAAAAACAAAAUAUCAUUUUCAACGUUCAUAGCAUUGGUCCCGACAUCUUACAAAAUCAGUGACCGGCAACGGCUGAGAUGACUAAGCGAGUGGCGACCGACCGAGAGGAACACAUAAGACUAUGCGACGACAACCGAAAGGACGAAUGAUUGACGAACGACGAGGAGAGAAGAAAUCCGAUCGACGGAGCCUAAGAGACGAAUCAAGAGGACGAAAGGCUGACCUAUUACGAUGUCAGACAAUGUCUGACUGAAAGCACAAACUGUUGUUGGAAACAAUCUUUAAAGAAUUGUGGGGACAUUGUCCAUAUGCAUGUGGCAGAUAGAGAUGUUUUUCAUGAGAUGGUUAAAAUAGUAAAGAAAAAGGUGAGAAUGUUUCUUGAGUAGUUUUUGUUGUCUUUCUGUGGUUUACUUAUUUCCUUUUGCCGAAGCCUGUUCAUAGUUCUCAUGAUUCUGUAUUAUAACCUGACUUUCAUGUCAAGGAGAAGAUACUGAUUCUAAUAGAUACUUGGCAAGAAGCUUUUGGAGUACCAAGGGCAAGAUAUCCACAAUAUUUUGCGGCAUACCAGGAGUUGUUGGUACAUUUCUGGUGGAUGGUUCUUUAAGUGAUUAAUUAGUGGAGAAAAAACCUAUGUGAUGAGACAUGGCACUGUCAUUUGAUUCAUCUUUUCAUGCAUUUUCUACAUAGAUUGAUUUCAUUGUACAUUUCUCUACUGAUUUUGCUAUAAGCAGUGCUAAUUACUGUUUUAGGCUUUGCUAAUUUCCAUUUGAUUCUCCCAUAAAAUAUCUGAAAUGGUGGCAAUCACCAAGAGGCAGCUGAGUCUUCUGCAGAUUCUGAGUUCCCAAAUUUGAGAAUUGGACUAGCUUGACAGAAAUUCAUAAUGCAUGUGGCAUUAUGGAUGUCCUUUCCGAAAUGUUGAAUGCAUUAGAUCCACGCAGCAAAUAGCUAAAUGCAGGUAUAGCCGUGCAAAUUUUACUUGAUGUAUUUGAUAUUGAAGAGGCGGUUCAUUAUGGGACAGCUGGAAGCUCUAAUGAUUCAUUGUCCCUUGGUGAUGUUAGUGUAAUGAAAUAUGUUGCCUUCACAAGUCCUUGGAAAUGGAAGGCAUGCAGUUAAACUUACUUUUUCUAUCCAAUUGUAGUCUAUUUUUCAUUUGUUUGUGGCAUAUUGUUAAUUUCUGCAUUUGAAUCUGUAUAGGAAUUCGAGUCUAAGAAAGGGAAAUUGCCAGAACUAAAAUUUGAAGCCUUCAAUUUUCCUGAAACAGGAGACAAUUUGUUGGCAAAGGUUGAGUUUCGCUGA